ACAUAGUUGUUCUAUGAAUUUUGGAUAUUAUAUUCAUUCUCUCAAUUUAUAUUUAAUUGUGAUUUAAUGUAUUUAAUUUAAAUUUUUAGAAAAACUACAUUUGAGCCAUCAACAAUAUAAAUUGCUCAACCAGACCCAUAAGACUCGGUUUGCUUUGCAAUCAUCUCAUAACAUCCACAGAAUCUCUCUUAAAGAUAAUAGCAAGAACACUAGAUCUGACCGCAAUGUUGUCAAGGGUGCUUGGGCUUCUCGAAUUCAGCGCAACAAGAUGUUUUACUCAGGAAAUUCGUCUAUUUUUUCUUUAUUUUGGAGAGGUGGUUCUACAUGAUGCUGAUCGCAGUAGGAGGACCUUCAUUCAUUCGUAUUUGAGCCGUGAAUUUUUAGACUGUGUUGUUGCUGCUACACUGACUUUCGAAAUCUUAACAAGAGAAAACUUCUAACUAAUUUUCCGACAUUACUCCCUCAGUUUUUCCCAUUAAUGCUAAAGCUCA